rnacentral:tRNA from 1 species
CUGGGAGUUGCUCAGUGGUAGAGCACUUGCCUAGCACGCAAGGCUCCGGGUUCCAUCCCCAGCACCAAAA